UAUGAGAGGCAAAAGAUUGGGUUUGAGUUGAGUGGUGGGGCCGAUUCUGAUAAUUGGGGGAAGAAGAAGGAAGAGGAAGGGAGAAAGUUUGGUGCUUUUGAUAGUUUAAGGGAGAGGAGAGGGGGUGGGUUUGAGAGAGAUGAGAGUUGGGGGAAGAAGAGGGAGGAUGUGGGGAGUGUUAGGCCUAAGCUUAAUUUGCAGCCGAGGAAGAUGCCCAUUGGUGAGGAGGCGCAGAAUGGCAGUGUUGUUAAGCCAAAAGGGUCGAAUCCUUUUGGUGAUGCUAGGCCUAGGGAGGAGGUCUUGAAGGAAAAGGGUCAGGAUUGGAAGGAGGUUGAUGAAAAGUUGGAGUCUUUAAAGUUAAAGGAAAAGGAGGCAAUAAGUGAUGGACCUGGUUUUGGGAAGAGAAGUUUUGGUAGUGGGAACGGGCAGAGUGGUGGAAAUGGUGAUAGGUCUGAGAGGAGCUGGAGGAAGCUUGUUGAUGUGGAUGUUCGUCCGCAGAGGUUGGUCAAUUGCAUCUUUUAAGUUUAUAUAAUUUUAGUGUAAUCAACUUGAGAAGAGUAACAGUUCUUGUUUGAAAACAUUUUAAGUGCAUGUGUAUAAGUAUGUUAUCGUUUUGGGAGAUAAUGGUACAGUUUUUUUUUUUUUUUUGCUGGUAGGAUAUAAUAGGUGUCCAUUUAAAUUGUUUUGCACUUAAGCUAGACAUCAUAGUUUAUCUGAAUUCAGUUUUGUGAUGCUCUUAUAUGAUUGAUGAGGUGGAACCUUUAACACUUGAAAGUCUUUAAAGUAUGUCAUGUUUGGUGUACACUUCAGAGGUAAAAUUAAUCAAAGAUUAAUGUGCCUGUAGUUAUGAUUUUUUUAAAGAAAGCCUCACAUCCAACUUUUUUUAGUUUCAGUUAAAAAUGUCGGUUUUGAGUUGCUAGUUCUAAGUUUACCAACUGACCAAUCUAUUAACCAACCUAUAGGCUCAGCCAAAGAAGCAAACGCCAACUAAAGUCAGUCCGCCUUGGAACAAAUUAGACUUAUAAAUUACAUGCCAAUGGUUACGAUACAAUAGUUAUGACUCAAGGUUUUGGUAUGCAACCUGAAUGAUGGAACAAGAUAAAUUGUUAGUUGUGUGCAUAGUCAUACAUAUUUCAGAUGAGAGAAAAGUUCCAAGCUUCGAAUAUUGGUUUUGGUUGUUUGUCUCUUCGUUACUUUCUAAUUUGUAUUGUCUAGUAUAUUUCACAUGCUUUAUCUCAUUGACUGUAGCUCCCUAAUUAUAAGUAGUCUACUGCUAGAAGUUAACAGUUAUCUUAUGCGGCAAGAGUGCAAGACUCACUGUAGACCAUUUAUUAUUGGAAAUACGGAUUGGCUCUGUGAACAUUAAGACAGUCUAUUACCAGUAGCUGUUCUUAUACCGAUGCCUUCUUCACCAAUGUACCAAUGUACCUUAUUUUUUAGUCUUUGCAACUCAUAUAGUGAGAUGAUAUACAUUACAUGUAUUUACAUAUAAAUUUACGUGACUUGUGUGAUGUUUGAGAACUUUAAACUUUACCUCUUCACACUAAUUACGUAAGCAUUGUACUCAUUUUACUCUUUUUGCCCUUGAAUUGUCACUCUUUAAGUUAUUUGAUGUGAGCAUCAUAGGUUUGGUAUUUGAUGAUCUAGAAAUUUUGAGCUGUGAUGAGAAGUAUGAUUUGAUGUACUUAUAUCUUCUAUCCUUUGUUAUAGCUUUCAUUCUGUUGUAUUUGUGCCCCCCCCCCAAAAACUUGGACUAGGGACGAGUAUGUGUGGAUUCUAUUUGCAAAUAUAAGUAUGUAAAUGGCCCUCUUUUUUUUGUUCGUGCGAUGAUUGUAUUCUCUUGCUUGCUCAGAGGACGGAGCAACAAGUUUAUCUUUGGNGAUGCCCAUUGGUGAGGAGGCGCAGAAUGGCAGUGUUGUUAAGCCAAAAGGGUCGAAUCCUUUUGGUGAUGCUAGGCCUAGGGAGGAGGUCUUGAAGGAAAAGGGUCAGGAUUGGAAGGAGGUUGAUGAAAAGUUGGAGUCUUUAAAGUUAAAGGAAAAGGAGGCAAUAAGUGAUGGACCUGGUUUUGGGAAGAGAAGUUUUGGUAGUGGGAACGGGCAGAGUGGUGGAAAUGGUGAUAGGUCUGAGAGGAGCUGGAGGAAGCUUGUUGAUGUGGAUGUUCGUCCGCAGAGGUUGGUCAAUUGCAUCUUUUAAGUUUAUAUAAUUUUAGUGUAAUCAACUUGAGAAGAGUAACAGUUCUUGUUUGAAAACAUUUUAAGUGCAUGUGUAUAAGUAUGUUAUCGUUUUGGGAGAUAAUGGUACAGUUUUUUUUUUUUUUUUGCUGGUAGGAUAUAAUAGGUGUCCAUUUAAAUUGUUUUGCACUUAAGCUAGACAUCAUAGUUUAUCUGAAUUCAGUUUUGUGAUGCUCUUAUAUGAUUGAUGAGGUGGAACCUUUAACACUUGAAAGUCUUUAAAGUAUGUCAUGUUUGGUGUACACUUCAGAGGUAAAAUUAAUCAAAGAUUAAUGUGCCUGUAGUUAUGAUUUUUUUAAAGAAAGCCUCACAUCCAACUUUUUUUAGUUUCAGUUAAAAAUGUCGGUUUUGAGUUGCUAGUUCUAAGUUUACCAACUGACCAAUCUAUUAACCAACCUAUAGGCUCAGCCAAAGAAGCAAACGCCAACUAAAGUCAGUCCGCCUUGGAACAAAUUAGACUUAUAAAUUACAUGCCAAUGGUUACGAUACAAUAGUUAUGACUCAAGGUUUUGGUAUGCAACCUGAAUGAUGGAACAAGAUAAAUUGUUAGUUGUGUGCAUAGUCAUACAUAUUUCAGAUGAGAGAAAAGUUCCAAGCUUCGAAUAUUGGUUUUGGUUGUUUGUCUCUUCGUUACUUUCUAAUUUGUAUUGUCUAGUAUAUUUCACAUGCUUUAUCUCAUUGACUGUAGCUCCCUAAUUAUAAGUAGUCUACUGCUAGAAGUUAACAGUUAUCUUAUGCGGCAAGAGUGCAAGACUCACUGUAGACCAUUUAUUAUUGGAAAUACGGAUUGGCUCUGUGAACAUUAAGACAGUCUAUUACCAGUAGCUGUUCUUAUACCGAUGCCUUCUUCACCAAUGUACCAAUGUACCUUAUUUUUUAGUCUUUGCAACUCAUAUAGUGAGAUGAUAUACAUUACAUGUAUUUACAUAUAAAUUUACGUGACUUGUGUGAUGUUUGAGAACUUUAAACUUUACCUCUUCACACUAAUUACGUAAGCAUUGUACUCAUUUUACUCUUUUUGCCCUUGAAUUGUCACUCUUUAAGUUAUUUGAUGUGAGCAUCAUAGGUUUGGUAUUUGAUGAUCUAGAAAUUUUGAGCUGUGAUGAGAAGUAUGAUUUGAUGUACUUAUAUCUUCUAUCCUUUGUUAUAGCUUUCAUUCUGUUGUAUUUGUGCCCCCCCCCCAAAAACUUGGACUAGGGACGAGUAUGUGUGGAUUCUAUUUGCAAAUAUAAGUAUGUAAAUGGCCCUCUUUUUUUUGUUCGUGCGAUGAUUGUAUUCUCUUGCUUGCUCAGAGGACGGAGCAACAAGUUUAUCUUUGGCAGCAUCAAUAUCAUGAUCUUUCUGAGAUAUUGUUUUUC
rnacentral:lncRNA from 1 species